ACAAUUUCUGCAGACGACACCACAGCUCUUAGUCGCCAGAUAUUUCCUGAUCAAUUCGGAACCUUUCAGCGUUCAGCUCAACACCAAUCAAUCAAGAUGAACAACACCGUCUUUGUCGUUCUCGUCGUCCUGGCUCUGAUCGCCGCUACCAGUGCUACGUCAUUCUCCAGCUGUCUCAGCACAUUCAACAACUGGUACAGUGAUUGUAAAAGAAGCUUGGGCCAAAAGAAGUGUGACAUUACCAUGAGUGGACUUGCUCCAGCUUGCUAUUACAGCUAACUUCUUCAUGCUUCCGUUCUCCUGAACACGUUACAAGCGGUGGACUUCUGAAUAAAGAUAUUGCAUAAGA